GCCGUCGUGGCACAGCCUGGUACUGCGCGGACAAAGUGGAGUAACUCAUAGGGGUAGAAGGAAAAACCACCAACAACAUCGGUGCCUACGGUCAUUUUCUUGUGAAAAUGCCCUACACCCCCGUCGUGUCGGCACCAAUAUUGGUGGUUUUCUCGAGUCAAGGAAUAAUGCGGUAUUCCACGUGGCGUUCGAUUGCUAGGCCGUGCGUAAAAAUCCCGUUUCCGAAAGGAUUCCCCGGUUCAAAGAGAUGUCCAGAACUCUUGAUUCUGGCGCUAUGAAAGUCCGGGCGACGGCG
rnacentral:tRNA from 1 species